GCAAGGUGAGGUAGUAGGUUGUAUAGUUUGUAGAAUGGACUAAAUCCUGCUCAGGUGAUAACUAUACAGUCUAUUACCUUCCUUGA